UGAUGUGUAAACUUGCUCAGUGUGACCUGACGCAAACUUUAUUAAUGUUCUUAUUACUAUCUAGCAACAUAUAACAUUAUAUCUGACAACAUUACAAGUUUUGGCAACAUAAGAUUACAUAAAUAUCGAUAACAAUGUGAUUAAGCUCAGGUUAGCCCGCUCGGCCGAGUGGCUGCUGGUCCGGCCACCGAGGAUGCGUUGCCUGUGGAUUGGCUCGAUCAACCGAGUGGCUGCUGGUCCGGCCACCCGGGAUGCGUAUGGGUCUGGAGGAUGUUUUGACUUUUGAUGUGCGGAGAAUUUGGUUUGCUGCAGAUUUGGUUUUCAUUUUGUAGGUUUGGUGGCAAAUUGUCGGCAUUCCAGUUAAGUGAUUUUUUGUUUUUAUAUUUGUUGGCUUUUAAUGAAUAUAGUUAUUUUAUUUUCAAGUUGAUUCACUGGAUGUUGCGUUGGGAUGACUUCUGGCUGCUUACUUAGUUGCUGACAUACAUAUGUAAAUUUAUUAUGUACAUACAGCUAAUUUCGUACACCAAUAUGUGUUUUAUUUAUUUAAUUGGCAGGUUUUGUCUUCAGCUUUGUAAUAAUUUGUAUGUAAUUUUGUGUAGUUUAUGUUGUUAUAUUUGUUGGCUCUUUUUUUUUUUAGGACUUUGGUUGUUUUAGUUUCAGGUUUGCGGCAGAUUUGGUAAGUGUUUUAAAUUGUAUUUUGGCUGAAUUUAAUUUUGUUUUAUUUACAGGUUUGGUAAUAGAGUGUCAUCAAUCAAGUUAGGUAAUUUAUGUUGUUAUAUUUGUUGACUUUUAAUGAGUAUAGUGUUUUAUUUUCAGGUUUAAAGAAAAUUGGUGUGAAAAAGAAAAAGUGAUUUCAAUUGUUUUUACGCCAAUUGUAAUUUUAUUUUAUCUGCAGUUUUAUUUUUUGCUGGUUUGGUGGUAAGGUGUCACAUGCAAUGGCUGUUGCGCUUGAUGUCUACAACUUGUUUGCGUAUUUACUGACAUUGAUUGUUAUGUAAAUAGUUAUUUUGUACGUAUGUAUGUAUGUAUGUAUGUAUGAUAGAUUU